UGGGGAAUUUUGGAUAAUGGGCGAAAGCCUGAUCCAGCCAUGCCGCGUGAGUGAAGAAGGCCUUUGGGUUGUAAAGCUCUUUUAGUCGGAAAGAAAGAGUUGCAAUGAAUAAUUGUGAUUUAUGACGGUAUCGACAGAAAAACGCACCGGCUAACUACGUGCCAGCAGCCGCGGUAAUACGUAGGGUGCGAGCGUUAAUCGGAAUUACUGGGCGUAAAGGGUGCGCAGGCGGUCUUGCAAGUCAGAUGUGAAAGCCCCGGGCUUAACCUGGGAAUUGCGUUUGAAACUACAAGGCUAGAGUGCAGCAGAGGGGAGUGGAAUUCCGAUGUGUAGCAGUGAAAUGCGUAGAGAUGUGGAAGAACACCGAUGGCGAAGGCAGCUCCCUGGGUUGACACUGACGCU
rnacentral:rRNA from 1 species